rnacentral:lncRNA from 1 species
UAAUUCAAUCAAUUCAAUCAAAUUUCAUAGGUUUAAAAACAACAUCUUCAUCAUUGACACAAUUCAAUCAAAUAUCAUGGGUUUAACAACAAGACUUUCAUCAUUCACACAAUUUAAUCUAAUUUCAUAGGUUUAACAACAACAUAUUCAUCAUUCACACAAUUCAAUCAAAUUUUAUAGGUUUGACAACAACAUUUUCUUCAUCAUUCGCACAAUUCAAUCAAAUUUCAUAGGUUUAACAUCAACAUUUUCAUCAUUCACACAAUUCAAUCAAAUUUCAUAGGUUUAAGAUAAACGUUU